AACGAACGCUGGCGGCAGGCCUAACACAUGCAAGUCGAGCGCACCCUUCGGGGCGAGCGGCGGACGGGUUAGUAACGCGUGGGAAUGUACCCUUUUCUACGGAAUAGCCAUUGGAAACGAUGAGUAAUACCGUAUACGCCCUUUGGGGGGAAGAUUUAUCGGAGAAGGAUCAGCCCGCGUUAGAUUAGAUAGUUGGUGGGGUAAUGGCCUACCAAGUCUACGAUCUAUAGCUGGUCUUAGAGGAUGAUCAGCAACACUGGGACUGAGACACGGCCCAGACUCCUACGGGAGGCAGCAGUGGGGAAUCUUAGACAAUGGGCGCAAGCCUGAUCUAGCCAUGCCGCGUGAGUGAAGAAGGCCUUAGGGUCGUAAAGCUCUUUCGCCAGGGAUGAUAAUGACAGUACCUGGUAAAGAAACCCCGGCUAACUCCGUGCCAGCAGCCGCGGUAAUACGGAGGGGGUUAGCGUUGUUCGGAAUUACUGGGCGUAAAGCGCACGUAGGCGGAUUAGAAAGUAUGGGGUGAAAUCCCAGGGCUCAACCCUGGAACUGCCUCAUAAACUCCUAAUCUAGAGUUCGAGAGAGGUGAGUGGAAUUCCGAGUGUAGAGGUGAAAUUCAUA
rnacentral:rRNA from 1 species